AUUGAACGCUGGCGGCAGGCCUAACACAUGCAAGUCGAGCGGUAGAGAGGUGCUUGCACCUCUUGAGAGCGGCGGACGGGUGAGUAAUGCCUAGGAAUCUGCCUGGUAGUGGGGGAUAACGUUCGGAAACGGACGCUAAUACCGCAUACGUCCUACGGGAGGAAGCAGGGGACCUUCGGGCCUUGCGCUAUCAGAUGAGCCUAGGUCGGAUUAGCUAGUUGGUGAGGUAAUGGCUCACCAAGGCGACGAUCCGUAACUGGUCUGAGAGGAUGAUCAGUCACACUGGAACUGAGACACGGUCCAGACUCCUACGGGAGGCAGCAGUGGGGAAUAUUGGACAAUGGGCGAAAGCCUGAUUCAGCCAUGCCGCGUGUGUGAAGAAGGUCUUUGGAUUGUAAAGCACUUUAAGUUGGGAGGAAGGGUACUUACCUAAUACGUGAGUAUUUUGACGUUACCGACAGAAUAAGCACCGGCUAACUCUGUGCCAGCAGCCGCGGUAACAC
rnacentral:rRNA from 1 species